rnacentral:rRNA from 1 species
CGAGUGAAGCGGCAACAGCUCAAAUUUGAAAUCUGGCGCAAGCCCCGAGUUGUAAUUUGUAGAGGAUGUUUCUGGCGACGUGCCUUCCGAGUUCCCUGGAACGGGACGCCAUAGAGGGUGAGAGCCCCGUACGGUUGGAUGCCUAGCCUCUGUGAAACUCCUUCGACGAGUCGAGUAGUUUGGGAAUGCUGCUCUAAAUGGGAGGUAUACGUCUUCUAAAGCUAAAUACCGGCCAGAGACCGAUAGCGCACAAGUAGAGUGAUCGAAAGAUGAAAAGCACUUUGAAAAGAGGGUUAAAAAGUACGUGAAAUUGUUGAAAGGGAAGCGUUCAUGACCAGACUUGGGCAGGUUGAUCAUCCGUGGUUCUCCGCGGUGCACUCUGCCUGCCCAGGCCAGCAUCAGUUCGCCCCGGGGGAUAAAGGCUCUGGGAAUGUGGCUCCUCCGGGAGUGUUAUAGCCCACUGCGUAAUACCCUGGGGUGGACUGAGGUUCGCGCUCUGCAAGGAUGCUGGCGUAAUGGUCAUCAACGACCCGUCUUGAAACACGGACCAAGGAGUCGUCUUCGUAUGCGAGUGUUCGGGUGUCAAACCCCUACGCGUAAUGAAAGUGAACGUAGGAGAGAGCUUCGGCGCAUCUCCGACCGAUCCUGAUGUUCUCGGAUGGAUUUGAGUAAGAGCAUACGGGGCCGGACCCGAAAGAAGGUGAACUAUGCCUGUAUAGGGUGAAGCCAGAGGAAACUCUGGUGGAGGCUCGCAGCGGUUCUGACGUGCAAAUCGAUCGUCAAAUAUG